GACGAACGCUGGCGGCGCGCCUAACACAUGCAAGUCGAACGAGCGAGAGGAGGUUUACUUUCUCAAGCGAGUGGCGAACGGGUGAGUAACGCGUGAGGAACCUGCCUCAAAGAGGGGGACAACAGUUGGAAACGACUGCUAAUACCGCAUAAGCCCACGACCCGGCAUCGGGUAGAGGGAAAAGGAGCAAUCCGCUUUGAGAUGGCCUCGCGUCCGAUUAGCUAGUUGGUGAGGUAAUGGCCCACCAAGGCGACGAUCGGUAGCCGGACUGAGAGGUUGAACGGCCACAUUGGGACUGAGACACGGCCCAGACUCCUACGGGAGGCAGCAGUGGGGAAUAUUGCACAAUGGGGGAAACCCUGAUGAAGCGACGCCGCGUGGAGGAAGAAGGUCUUCGGAUUGUAAACUCCUGUUGUUGAGGAAGAUAAUGACGGUACUCAACAAGGAAGUGACGGCUAACUACGUG
rnacentral:rRNA from 1 species